rnacentral:rRNA from 1 species
UGGUGGAGUGAUUUGUCUGGUUAAUUCCGAUAACGAACGAGACCCCGUCCUACUUACUAGACCGAGGAUCCUCUCGUUCUCGCUGUCUUCUUAGAGGGACAACUGGCGUAAAUCUAGCUAUAUGAAAUGGGGCAAUAACA